UUCAGAUCCCGGUAGGUGAAUGCUGCUUCUCUCAUGGCAUCUGCUUUCUUCUCAGGCCAGUUAGGGAAGUGCUUGAGCACUGCCCGUUCGUCUAUCAGAUUUACCUUGAGCUGUCGGUGUGCUAUUUUACACCAACCAAGAGUUGUGACAGCAAAGCCUGAAUACUAGCUUUCUUCUGCCUCAAGCUGUGUAAAAGGAACUCAGAUGGAACUCCUUUACCAGCCCUGGACACCUUUGGCUAAUAAGACCAAGUGAAUAUUUUGAAAAGUAGAGGGACAAGAAGAAACAAAAUAAAGCUGAGCAAAAGAAGGGGAAAAGCAGAUCUGAAUGUGUUUAUCUUUCAAAACACACGGUAUUGUUACACUCCUUGGAACUGUAGCUCCUACUGUAACAAUCCUAUUCCUCACCCAUGUGUUUUGAUUGCUGAAGAUUUCUGGUGAAGCCUUUCCUACCUGUAUCUGAACAGCAUUGGGCAUCUGUUUAUGUCACCAAAUAUAGGCGGUAGCAGAGCCCCGAAAACAACAUAUAGUAGGUUUAGAAAAAGGAGUCCCUACGAAGGAAGAUUCUGGCAAUGUUAUAAAGGAGAUGUAGAAAUAAACUGUUACAGGAUGACAACAGAUUAAGCUGGCAUCAAAGGUUACUCUGUGUACUCUGAGAUACAGGUACCAUUGUGAAGUCCCUGAUCCGUAGGGAAUUGCGGCCAUGUUUAAGGAGUUCAUUGAUUUCGCUGCGUCAGUUUCCAUGCUCGGAUUGGGUGUGAUUUGUGUAGAAUGCGAUCUCAGUACCUGGUUGGUGGAAGUACUACAUACAUACAUGCAGUGCGGUGCAUCAACUGUGGAAGAUACUUUGCAUGGACCCCCUGUGACUGCAUGUACCAUUACGCCUAAUGAUGUACCAACAAUUGCGCUCAUAAAUGUAAGGAGUGUCUGGGACUGAGUAGUGAUCAUUUUCCAUUA